UGAGAAAUACAUAAAAGAUGCUUAAGUGC
rnacentral:piRNA from 1 species